UUAACUAUUAGAUAGUACUCAGACGACACUAACAUUCAGAGUUUGGGGUCCUCUGGCGGGCGCUUACCAGCCGGAGCCGGUAGCCUGGCCGAAGCCUGACGGCCCGCCAAAGCAACAAGGUGAUAUAACAUAGGGUGGGAGAUCUACCCGUAAGGGCAUGAACUCGGUAAUGAUCCCUCCGCAGGUUCACCUACGGAGA
rnacentral:misc_RNA from 1 species